GGGGACUUAGCUCAGUGGUAGAGCGCUUGCCUAGGAAGCGCAAGGUCCUGGGUUCGGUCCCCAGCUCCG
rfam:Rattus norvegicus chromosome 14, whole genome shotgun sequence.